ACUCAUACCGCAAGGAGAACCAUCUGUUUAACAAAAACCAUUCAUCUCCUAACGUUCUUGAACGACAGAAUAAAGAACGUGCCGCGAAAACAAAGACGUAAUAAAAGAGUGAAUAAUGAAGACGGUAUAAUAUAGUACAAAAGUUCCAUUCGGUAGUUCCGCUCUAUAGAGGAAGAAUGCCUUUUCUUUUAAUGUGCGUAGUUACUCGACCGUUGAGAGAAGAUAAAAAUCUGCACCAAAUUUAAUAGUCGUAUGAACGAGACGGCCACAGAAUAAGCUCAUUACUGCGAAAGUGAAAAUUUUACGAUUCAAUGCUGCGCGGCUGCGAUAAAUCGACCAACAGCGAGGGCCAAACGAUCGACGUCGCAUGCGAAAUAUCGACCGAUAAAUCUGUCCAGAGGCGAUAAAACGUGUCGAUUUGUCUGUACGCAUACUGAUUGCUGGUAUCACAAGACGGAGCAGCGACUUUUUCAAACUCGUAAGCUAGCUACAAGUUGGUGAACUACAGGGGCUUGAUUGAUUUUAGUUUUCUAGAAAACUGUUGACUGUUGAGGAAGAGUGAACGUUGCAGUUCAUAAAAUAUGGCAUUUCCGAGAUAUCUGACUCAAAAGGAAUUAGAGGCAGCUAUGGAGAAAAUCGUGAUGGAUGAGGACAAUAACAAUGAAAGUCGUAAGUAUUAUUUGGAUUUACGUAUUCUUACGUAUUGCAGCAUUCGCAGCAUUCCAUUCCAUAUAAAAUAUUUACAAAACAUAUUCACGCGAUUCACGAAUUUAGAUCAUGUGAGGAACUAAAAAAUAGGCUCCGCUUGAAAUAUUUUUUAUGUUUUUUGAUGAUGAACUGAUUGAUUUAAUUUUAAAUCUUACAUUGCUUUGCGACUUUUAAAAACUGAUAAAACAAUUACUCAAAGAAAUCUUGAACAUGCAAUAGAUGAAGUGCGCUAUGAUAAUCAAGGUCACCUCAUGAUUGUUCACGCUAAUAUUCCAUCAGUGAUAGGUUCAGAAUACCACAUUAAAUUCGGGCUUUAAAGGAUAGUUUUUUCUAAGAAUAUCGUAUUGCACUAACCGAAAUCGAUUUUCAUAAUCUUCAUCUAGCAUUCUCACUUGCAUUUUCUUCAAUUGUUUAUCGUUCUAGUGCAUAAAACUCCUUUUAACUCAUUAGAGGAUGUAGGGCAGCGAAUAGUGAUCUCCUCCAAAGCUGAAGAAAUAUUCCAGUGCCAACUUAAAGUUUGUCGUUUCCAGCAAUGUUUGUAAUAAUUUAGUUAAUAUUAAUAGUAAAAAAUACAAUAAACUAUAAGUUUCUGUUAAUUUAUUAAUCAGUCGGUACUAAUCUCCAUCUUCUUUUUCUUUCUAUUUUCUCAAGAUUGUGCUGCCCUGUAUCUUAGAUAUUUGGAACACAGGUUGCUUUGAUUCAUUUAAUUUUUGUGGAAAAAUUAGGGCUCUCAAAUCUCCAUAAAAAAUAAUUAAAAUUUUAUAUAGCUAUCUAAAUUUAUGGCUAAAACAAGUAACAGUUGUCAUCUUGUCUUCUGCACUUAUGGCAUCUCGAAAAUUAAUUCACCCGCUCAUUUUUAAAAGCUGUAUAAACUGCUCACCGUCUUUCUUAAACUACUUUAUUUAUUUUAUAGCCAAGGCUCGUCUUCAGGUAGCAAUGAUAAGGGCAAGGGCGGCAUUUAUUUUUAUGGUGCCUCGAUACUUUUUCAAUACCUGUAGAGCAGACUGGGGCUUAAAUAAAUAAGAAUAAACAAAACAACAAAUCCAGUCAAACAUAACCUCUUUAUACUAUGAGUUGGUUGAACGACAGUAUGUUCCUUCAAAAACUUCGUGAAGAAAUUCAUCAGUUGCUUAAUGAAUUUGUUAUUUGUUUAUUUGUAAAAAUAGCGUUUGCGCGCGACGCUGAAGAAAAGUCGUAAAUCUGGCAGCGUCGCAAAAUUAAAAUCCCGCUCCUGAACUUGACCUUUCGCGGCCGCCGCGAUCGUCUGCGACGUCCGUGUCGUUUACGCUUUUCGCGAAUUGAACUUGAAACUGAAAACGCGACCACGCGGCGAACGGGAACGUGGCUGCUUGGACGCCACGGAAAUGUCCGACAUUUUGACAGGAUCUGAAAGUCGGUAGUAGAAACGCAUCUCGCUUAAUUCGAAUUUGGCUUGUCGAAUGGAGCAAAAUGGCUGAGUUGGGGAUGGUUGGACAGACUUGAACUGCUUUUAAUCAUGGUUUCUUCUAGACGGAAUUAAGAGAAGUGUUUACUAUUAUUAAAACAUAAGCCAUAACAAACGGGGUGGACCUGCCGUGUGUGGAAUGAGUAUACGAGGUCAGGUAAAAACGUUAUUUUUGAUCCCAGCGAAUUAUUUUCGCAAUAAUUUUUAUCUACUAUGCUCUCUAUAUGCUGCAAAAUGAGCUACUUUCUACUUUGGAUUAUAAAUUUUAAUAAACAAACCUCUUUGUACGAAAUUUGUUGUCUUACAAUAUUUUGGAAUUUAGUUUACUACCUUGUAAUACUUUGCCUUUUAUCCUAAUGAUUUUUUACAUAAAAAUGAAGUAAUUGACACGUCUACACAUUUUUGAAAACCCGCCAUUAUUCUUAUCAUACCCGCACCUACUAAAAAAAGUUGGAUCCGAUAUCUUGACGGCGUAUCCGCACACGUACGCAGUAAUUAAAUAUAAAAAUACAAAGAUAAAAUUUGAAAAAUGCUCUGUAUCUCACAAAACGUUAAGGAGAUUACAUUGGCGUCAUCCUUUUUCUUUAACAACCCAGUAACUAUGGGCAAGAACCGUUACUCUCGAUUUUUAAAAAUAAGUUGUUGAAUACCCUGAACCUUGAUGUUGUCUAAAUUGAUCUUUAUGAUCUUUAGUUUUCCAUGGUGGUAAGAGAUAAGGGGAUUAGUUAUAUAAAUUGUUACUAUCCCCCUUUUCCUAAUAAUUAUUGCUCAACUACUCAACAAUCCACUUAUAUAUCAAAACAAAGAUAAUAUUUAUUAUCCAAAUUUACUAAACUUCCCAGCAUCAGUUCGUAAACGACAUUUAGGUUGUACAAAGCUGAUGUGAACCAGACAUCAAACAGAUGUUUUUCAAUCCAUUCAGUCUGCAAUUCAAUGAUUACAAUGAUUACAAUUAGAACACGCUACAUUUAUAAGAUAUUUUUUUAACAGGUUUGCCGUGGCCCAAACACAGUACAUUCAAAUAUAUACGUUAACGAAUUAGGACAGUUUAUAAGGUUAUGUAGCAAUUUAUAAAUAAAGAUAACAGACACUCGCAGCUCCGUUCAAAUCUAUUUAUAUAAAAUCUGUUUAAAUAAGAUUAAUAAUCUAAACUUCCCGGUGGAUAUCACCAUCAAGCUUUGAUCACUAGAUAUUUCGAAGAGGACCGAAAUUUGAUUUGGAAAAUCAAUAACUUUAUCUGUUCGAAUGAAACUCGGGAUUCUACACGUCGAGGUUAUAAAAAGUAAAUUUGCAAUGACAGGAAUCAUUAAACAGGGUGGACAACUUAAAAGGUACAUUAAGUUUGGCGAAUGAAUGUAAUGUGACAGCGGCUUUACCACACUUUAUUAGAAUAAUAAAGAUAAAUGAGUAGUAAAUCCAGUAAAUCCAGAUCCAGUAAAUAAAAACAUAUAUAAAAGUAAGAAUAAUAUAAAAUAUAAUAAACAUUAUCAUUUAAAAAAGCGUGUCAUCAGCUUCCGGCAUUCUUUCUUCUAUUUCUUGUACAAACAAGUUUAUCCGAAUUUACAAUCUCUUGUAAUUGUUAUUUCAGCAUUUCUUUCUGAAAUUGCUCCUUAUUUUAAGUAAGCCAUUGAAUGAUCUCCAGUUCCGAUGUUUACAUAAAUUCGACCUCUUAAUUUUGUAUUAGGCAAAUUGUUUUCAAUAUCCAC